UGGGGAAUAUUGGACAAUGGGGGAAACCCUGAUCCAGCAAUGCCGCGUGUGUGAAGAAGGCCUGAGGGUUGUAAAGCACUUUCAGUGGGGAGGAGGGUUGACAGGUUAAGAGCUAGUUAACUGGACGUUACCCACAGAAGAAGCACCGGCUAACUCCGUGCCAGCAGCCGCGGUAAUACGGAGGGUGCAAGCGUUAAUCGGAAUUACUGGGCGUAAAGGGUGCGUAGGUGGUUUGAUAAGUUAUCUGUGAAAGCCCUGGGCUCAACCUGGGAAGGUCAGAUAAGACUGUUGAACUCGAGUAUGGGAGAGGGUAGUGGAAUUUCCGGUGUAGCGGUGAAAUGCGUAGAGAUCGGAAGGAACACCAGUGGCGAAGGCGGCUACCCUGGCC
rnacentral:rRNA from 1 species